rnacentral:lncRNA from 1 species
UCAGACAGCAAAUCCUUUCGAAGAACUUUAAUACCUUGCUACUGCUUAUUUCAUUAGUCCCCGAGACGCCCAUGAGUUGAUGUUCUCACCUGCGUGGAGUCAGAAGUGGCAAGUCAGGUCCAUGGUUCCUCCGGCACACAAGAGGUUGCUUUGGACUGGCACGAAGUCACGCCUUCUGGGAGUGUCGAGUCAUUUCUGUUCGUGACAGCCAUCUCAGAAGGUCAGAAAUACCGAUACCCUAAUUUCUCAGAAUAGUUAGUUGUGAUUCUCUCCUCCAUGAACUGAGCUGCACUGUGUUUCUUCCCGCUUCUAUUCCUACCUGGCCCAGCUCUUAGGGAGGUACCCAGCUAUAGAAUUUGUCAUGGCUGGCCAAGGAGCCAUCAACACCUCCACUGAGCUGCAUGAGGGCAGGUACACGAAGCUAUAAUUAUCCCCAUCUAAGCUUCAACAAAAUGUCUGCCUGAGGCCAUUUUGUGGCACGCUAGUGGGAAUAAGUGCCAGGUUGCUAAGAAUUACUGGGAUAGAGAAAUUCUGAGUGAAAUCUUGAAAUUAUUGUUCACAAGAGAUAAGGAGAGUGAUGGUGAGGCACAUUAUUACACUAAGUCAAGCCAGCCCCACAUUUCUGAGUAAAAAAGGUCAACUGAUUCCCAUCUUCACGAUGUACAUUUUUGAGUCCUUUCCACCAACGUCAGAAAAAAAAUCUUUGGAGCUAAAGGGUCUGUAUUUACCUUCUCAUAAUUAUGGGGUUCAGAAUCAAGGGGCCAGUCCAGAUAUGGCUCUCUUCCUGACACCGUCCUGUUUGUUAACGUUGAUAGCUGCACCAAACCUCUGGAACAGUGUGCAACGUAAGAAAGCUCGGUUACCAUCUUAUGGGCCGCUGACUCUUCUCCUUCCAGAAGUCCUAGAUGACAAAUUUAAAUAUAACCCCACAUAGGCAGCAAUUCCUUAGUUUAUUUUUCCUUCAUCUCCUUAGUUCUGGGCUUGCUUUUUUAAAUACAAUCUAAACACCUAGAAGAAGUUGUCGCAAGUAAUAAUGCAAACUGCGCUACCAGAUUUAUGGAGGUGAGAAAUGGACAGCCUUCCAGACGGAUUACAAAUCCAGAGAUGACUGGAAAGGAAAACAAGAACAGGGUGCAUUGGUUUCUGACAUGGGCAGCUGUGGCCAGAACACCCGUGCUCUGAGAGGUAUGGGAGAUGAAAGGAAUCUUCUGCUGUGAUUAGUGAAAAGGAACAACCUUCGCUGGGGGAGGGAAGGAUCGGGUCAUGUUUAGGAUGCCUUUCUAAAGUACAUGGGCACCUCAGCCUGCAGGGGUGAGAUAGGGUUACCCUCGGGUAUGGGCAGGGCUGUGUAAGAGAAUCCAACGGCACUAAAUCAAAACCUGUCCUAAUCCUGGCUGCUUCCUGGCCACCUCCCCUAGACUAAGGGGUGACUCAGAGUGUGCCUGGCUCUGGGACUUCAAACAUUUCUGAGUAAUUCCCACAGACCUGGACAAGGGCAAUUAGAGGACUGGUUUGGAAUGACCACUGUGGAUCAAAAGAUACUUCCUGUGGCCAGCAGGGAGAAGGCAACUGCCCAGGAAGCUCAAUUUUGAGGUGUCUUCUGCUCAACUAGAAGGCAGAGGUGUCUUCCACCAUACUAAAUCAUAGAGGCUGGAAAGAAUUUGCUAAAUAAGAAGGCUCCCUUCCAUGGUCGGCACCUCCGAUUUAGUGGAGUACGCAAAGACAAAGUUUUCAAAUAAUGAAAGAGAAGCUGAAUUGUUAGUGAUGGAUGAAGACCCAAGUGAUCUGGCCACUGGCUACCUCUCUGACCUAAUUUCCAACUGCUAUUCCCUGGCUCACUCUGCUCCCAAGCAGGGUAUCCGCAUUCUGCCAUUCCUUGAACAUGCCGAGUACUCUCCGACCUCAGGACCUUUGCACUUACUGUUACCGCCACCAAGAACUCCACUCCUCCAGAUGUUUCCUGCCUCGUUCACUCACCUUAUUCCUUCCAUAGACCUUUCCCAGCCAUCCUGCCAAAAUAGUACCUCUUCACAACACCAUUUUCUAUUCCUUUACCCUGCUCUAAUUUCAUUAUUAGCACUCACAGUGCCUCACAUUGUUAUCUAUUUACAUGUAUUGCCUUUUUCCUUCCCCCCACCCCACCUUCUACCCCAGAAAUUCCAUAGCUUCAAAGAUUUUUGUCUCUUUUGUAUUCCACUGCCUGGAGCAUAGAUCUUCAACAAGUAUUUAUUGAAUUGUUAAAUAAGAAAUUGUAUUAUUUUAUGUCAGUAUACGCCAUUGUUUUCUGUGCUCAGAAUCCUACCUAUAUUCUAUGAUUUCAUCUUUACAACAGCCCUAUGACGUGGCAGUUACUGUCUGCCAUCUAUAGAUGAAGAAAUUGAGGAUUAGAGAGAGGAAGUGACUUGUCUGUUUCUGUUGUUAUUUUUAGAUUGUGGUUUCUGUGUUUUGGGGGGGUUUCAAUGCUUGUUUUUACAGACCUCAGUGGCAUUGAGUUGAGGCAUCCAGACUUCUCCCCAGCUCCUGCCACACCGUCUCCCUCAGUUCAUGCACAGGCUCUCUUCUGCUUACUGUGUAUUUGUCCCCUCCUUAUGUCCUAUGCCCAACUUCAUUCUCCUCCUCCUCCAGACUGGCAGCUGAUAGAGUAGACCCACGGCAGUAAAUAGUCAUCCAGAGUAUGUACUCCAGCUAGCUUGCCUGGCCUGACCUCCUGGCUUUGCCACUCACUCGCCGUGUGACAUUAGGAAAUUCUUGGUCAUUAUUGCUUGAACUAUUGGCCUCCUUCCAUUUCCUUUUGUUCUUCUGGUGUCCCUACCAAAUGGACUUGGACACAUGUCUGAUUCUCCAAAUUUCUUUUCCAUUCUUUACCCUGUCCUUUUGCAAUGCCUCAGGCAAAACUCCUUGGCCUAAUCUUCCAGCUCACGUAUUUACUACUUAUUACCAUUAUUUUUUGAAUGUUUUUUAAGUUUUUUUUUUAGUGUUUAUUUUUGAGAGAGAGAGAGAGAGACAGAGCGUGAGUGGGGGAGGGGCUGAGAGAGAGGGAGACACAGAAUCCAAACCGGGCUCCAGGCUCUGAGCUGUCAGCACAGAACCCAACGCAGGGUUCGAACCCAUGAACCACAAAAUCAUGACCUGAGCCAAAGUCAGACGCUUAACUGACUGAGCCACCCAAGAGCCUUGGAAGUUUGUACUCUUUUACAACCUCUCCCUAUUUUCCCCAGCCCCCGGCCACUGGCAACCACUGUUCUACCCUUUGUUUCUUUGAGUUUAACUUUUUCUCUUUUUCUCUUUCUUUCUUUCUUUCCUUCUUUCUUUCUUUAUAGAGUCCACAUAUAAAUGAUAUCAUACAGUACUCUUUGCUCUGUCUGGCAGAACUACUUCUUAAUAUUUCUAAUUCUUUUCCUCAACUGCUUAUUCUCACUUCCUGUUCCCAGUAAAUUCUCUCAUUUCUUUAAGCAUAUUUAUUACUCUGGCUUUUACUUCUUUUCCUGUUUUUUCAUGAGUUCUGCCUUCUCCGGUAUAAGUUAUUCCAUUUGUUGUUCUCCCAACUUGCAGCUCUCAGAAUCUGCCCUCUGAGCCCAUCCUUGCCCCUUCCGGACAUCGAGCUGCCUUGAUUAGGAAAAUGCACCCGUGGAGAGGGGCAGACAUCUAGCAAGACUGUGCUUCUCCAGGUGAAUCGGUGUGUGUGCUGGCUGCCGUGUGCCUUUGUGGGAGACACAUGGUACUGUGCUCACCUGGUCUCCAAAGAACCUCUGAAUAAUCUUUUAUUGGAGGCAGCCACUCUGUAUUACAAGCAGAUGCCCACAGGAGGGUGAGAGCAGGGGUGUGUGUGUGUGUGUGGAGGGGAGUUCUUGGGGACUGGUCAGACCAGCUAUACUCCUUGCCAUCUGCUCAUCACCCUACCAGGUCAGAGCUCUGCCUUGUGGUUACCCACUGCUUCUGGCCUGUCCCCUGAUACCCUGCCCCUGCAAUCAUCACCAAAAGGAAGGGGGAAAUCUGCCUAGGGCAAUACAGGGAUGAUGAAAGGGCAGAACUAAAACAUUGUCCCCCAAACCUGGUCCCUAUUUGUGACCCUAGGCCUUCCCUACCCCUGGCUACUUUCCCUGCCCGUGGACAGAAUCAACAUCUAUCCACAUCAGGAGUUUCUGGGACUCAUUGCUGAGAACAGCUGUCAGGUCCAUCCUUUCUUUCCUAUGGCAUCUGUGCAGGAGAGAAUACCGGGGCCGCCGUGCUUCUAGCCUCUGCUGCUUUGCUGUGUUGCUGCACAUUACAGCCCUGUAAAUUUUCUAAGAUCACCAAGCUGGCAAGUGAUGGGAUUCAAACCCUAGUCUUUUUUUUUUUUUUUUUACUCCAAAUCUGUGUUUUAAUCCCAACACUCAGGGUUUGCCGACAGAUGAUUGGGUCGAAGUAUACAUCCAACUAAAAAAAUUAUUUCAUUCCAGGUAUUUUCCACUAAAUGGAAUCUGGCUCCUUAGAGAAAUGGUGGACUCCAGGUCUGAGGAAAGAAAUAUACAAGAAAGCAAUCAAAAGAACACUAGGGUCAUCAUCAAAGGAUUCAGGAACCACCUUGAAGAGACUCUCAGUGGCUAAAGAUGGGUCCAUUUUAGCGUCUAGAAGGAUGAUAAUGGCAAUUAGUUGUAACAUUUCAACUGUUUGUCAAAUGAUAUGAGAAAAAUAAUUAGUCACCACUAAAACCAACUCAUUAUUUUGAAAAAUGAUAAACAGAGGGACGGAAAGAAACCGUCUUGUUUUCACUAAGAAAUUAUACCACUGAAAAUCAAGUAGCAGAUGAGGAGGUUUUUUUCAUUAUAGAAAUAUCCUAGAUAACAAAUAGAAGGGAUGAUAAAAUUAGAAUACCAUCAUUUUGCCACCUUGGAUAAAGUAGGAUCAAGGCAUGAGCUUCAGUGGUUGCUAACAUUACAAAAAGAGACACUAACCUAUCACUAUCUUGCUUUGAAAGAGAUAACCUGAAUCUGAUCAAACUGCUAGAAUAGAUUAAGCUACCAGCUAUCAAUUAUAAAAAAAAUACAAGAGCCCAGGAAUAUGUUCAAACAGACCUCAAGAGAAGCAGUCAGCAAAAUGUAAGGUAUGGAAAACUCUAGAUGAAAUUUUUUUUUUAAAAACAAAUACAUCUCAACAAUAAGAGAAUGAAAUAGGGGUAAGUUUACAGAUUAAAAAAGACUUAAAAGAUGUAUCAACUAUCACAACAUGUGACCUUAUUUGUAUCCUGAUUUAAGUAAACUCAAACAAAAAGCUGUUUAUGCCAUUUAUGAAGACAUUUGAACACUGAUUAGACAUUAAGGAAUUAUUGUAAAAUAUUUUAGAUAUGAUAACUGGUAUUGUGUCUAUGUUAAAAAUAAAGAGUCCUCUUCUUUUACGUUUUUUAAAAAUGUUCAUUAUUUGAGAAAGAGACAGAGAGCAAGCAGGGGAGGGGCAGAGAGAGAGGGAGACACAGAAUCGGAAGCAGGCUCCAGGCUCUGAGCCCUCAGCACAGAUCCUGACGUGGGGCUCAAACCCACGAACCUCGAGAUCAUGACCUGAGGCCGAGGCAGAAGGUCGACCGACUGAGGCACCCAGGCGCCCCAAGCGUCCUCUUCUUUUAGAAACAUAUAUUGAAAUAUCUACAGGGGCACCUGGGUGGCUCAGUCAGUUGCGUGUCCAACUCUUGACUUUGGCUCAGGUCAUGAUCCCAGGGUUAUAGAUCCCACCCAGUGUCAAGCUCCAUGCUGAGUGUGGAGCCUGCUUGGGAUUCUGUCUCUCUCCCUCUGCCCCUCUCCCGACUCAUACGCUCUCUCUCUCUAAAGUAAAUAAAAAUUAAAAAAUAAAGAAAUAUCUGUGGUUGAAAUGUAAUAUCUGAUUUUGUUUUCCGUAACACAGAGGUGGGCAAUGGAAUGUGCAUAAAACAAGAUUGUCGGG